CCUGCAGUCGCGAAUCCACUUGGUCAGAAGAUGAAAAACGUCAAUCCAGAGGAGAGGGAGGAGGUGAAGGAGGCCACACAGGACGAGGACCAGGCUCAUCAGGAUAUUGUUCAGAUGGAUGGACAUCUAAAUUCCUUGUAAAGCUCCUUAACAUCCCUGGGCUUCAUGUUGGCCAGCAUGGCAUGGAAAAUCAUACAUUUGCUUUUCAUGCUCAUAGCCAGGAAAAGUUUAUUUGGAGUUUAAUUCUCAGCUCUUACAGUUCAGAAGUUGGUGUGCAGUCAGCCAAGACCCUGAACCCUGAAUUGAUUCCUCAUCCAUGCCAGGAGUGCACCAAACCUUGUAUGAAGACUUCGUAAAGACAUCACUCACUGGAGAAAGGGAUCUGGAUAGUAGUCCAGGGCUUUGGUACAAGAGACUCUCUAAUAUUCAUUCUUGUUUAGAUUUUGUGAAAACUAUGUGAGAAAUUCCUGCCAACACUUGACUUUGUACUAACAAAAUAAAAAAGUUCUUGAAAUUGA